rnacentral:lncRNA from 1 species
CCCCCCCCGCCGAGAAAAGAAGUUGGCUUUCUUCAAGGAUGGUGCGUCGCUUCAUUAAUAUAUUAUUUACUCUUUUCUUAUAUUUUCUCUCUCUCGUAAAUUAAUAAUUAAUUAGUCGGUUUAUUACUAAAAGAAAUAGAGUACCCACACACGUUACCGGAACGUGUUUAAUCCCCACCCUCCAGCAUUUGCUAAACAGUAUAUCGGAUUUCUCAAAGUUAAGGAGCUGACCGGAUGCUGCCGCGUAUGCCGCCCCAGGAUGCCUUUUAGAGAUCUUUCUCGAAUCUCGGUAUGGAAGUGUACGGAUCUAUGCCGCUCGUUGAGCCCGGAUUAAUGAGAACUCUUUUGUUUUAUAAAAAUAAAGGAAUUUAGAGUACUGGGGCAAGCGUUUUGAUACAUGCAGGUACUUUUCUAUCAAAUACCAAAAUUUAUUAAGUCUAAAAUUUUAAUUAUGAAUCAUAAACCCAUUAUAGUAAACAAUAACACUAACCUCCUGAAUAAUUAAUUUUGAUCAUCAGACAUUAUAUUAUAAACUUAACGUCAAAAUCGUACUAAUAAAUUUUAAGCCUAGGAAAUAGACUUUUUACCGUAAUUCCUAAUAUCAUAUCCU